rnacentral:rRNA from 1 species
CAGUAGGGAUCUUCCGCAAUGGACGAAAGUCUGACGGAGCAAUGCCGCGUGAGUGAAGAAGGUUUUCGGAUCGUAAAACUCUGUUGUUAGAGAAGAACAAGGAUGAGAGUAACUGCUCAUCCCCUGACGGUAUCUAACCAGAAAGCCACGGCUAACUACGUGCCAGCAGCCGCGGUAAUACGUAGGUGGCAAGCGUUGUCCGGAUUUAUUGGGCGUAAAGCGAGCGCAGGCGGUUCUUUAAGUCUGAUGUGAAAGCCCCCGGCUCAACCGGGGAGGGUCAUUGGAAACUGGAGAACUUGAGUGCAGAAGAGGAGAGUGGAAUUCCAUGUGUAGCGGUGAAAUGCGUAGAUAUAUGGAGGAACACCAGUGGCGAAGGCGACUCUCUGGUCUGUAACUGACGCUGAGGCUCGAAAGCGUGGGGAGCAAACAGGAUUAGAUACCCUGGUAGUCCACGCUGUAAACGAUGAGUGCUAAGUGUUGGAGGGUUUCCGCCCUUCAGUGCUGCAGCUAACGCAUUAAGCACUCCGCCUGGGGAGUACGACCGCAAGGUUGAAACUCAAAGGAAUUGACGGGGCGGCG